UACGUAGGGGGCAAGCGUUGUCCGGAAUUAUUGGGCGUAAAGCGCGCGCAGGCGGUUCUUUAAGUCUGGUGUCUAAGUGCGGGGCUCAACCCCGUGAUGCACUGGAAACUGGGGAACUUGAGUGCAGAAGAGGAGAGCGGAAUUCCACGUGUAGCGGUGAAAUGCGUAGAGAUGUGGAGGAACACCAGUGGCGAAGGCGGCUCACUGGCCCGUUACCGACGCUCAGGCGCGACAGCGUGGGGAGCAA
rnacentral:rRNA from 1 species